UACGUAGGGCGCGAGCGUUGUCCGGAAUUAUUGGGCGUAAAGAGCUCGUAGGCGGCCUGUUGCGUCUGCUGUGAAAUCCCGGGGCUUAACCCCGGGCGUGCAGUGGAUACGGGCAGGCUGGAGGCAGGCAGGGGAGAAUGGAAUUCCCGGUGUAGCGGUGAAAUGCGCAGAUAUCAGGAGGAACACCGAUGGCGAAGGCAGGUCUCUGGGCCGAUACUGACGCUGAGGAGCGAAAGCGUGGGGAGCGAACAGG
rnacentral:rRNA from 1 species